AUGUAUUGUAUUAUUUCUUACAGCCAAGAUGCCUUUCUCUAAGAUUCUUACCCACUUCUCUUCUUUACAGAUGUAUGGGUAAGGUAGCAUGCCAUCAGUCUGUAUAGUUAUUGUGUGAGUAAAAGACCACGACUGAGCAGGAGGUUGUGCCACUCUGCACAAGCUACCCAGGUAGUAUUUCAGCAAGGACAGCAACUGGGAGGAUUACUUGUUCAUACAUGGUGCGUGGUGACUCAGUGGCUCUCACUGGAGCCUCUGAGAUGUUCAUGAAAUCGAUAGAAUAUUUGCACUGACAGUUGGAGUCCAACAGAAACAGAGCUAUCGGAAUUGGGAACAGAAGUAUCAUCAAGAAUCAAAUCUUCUUUUAAAUGCUCUCAGAAUGGGGUACAACUUACUGAAAGAGGGGGACAGUAACUGUUGUUUAACCAUGCUGCUCACUUUCCUGAAGGCUUUAAGCCUUUUCUUUCCCCCAAACCAAAGCUAUUUCAGCUCAACUGACUUUCAAAACCAAAUACAGUUUCUCAUUUAUUUAUGUGACUUCGCGCUGUUUGGUUUAGGUCUCAGCCACAGACAGCAUUAGCAAUUCUAAUACUACAAGGACAAACAACAUGUACGCGGGCAUGGAAGGUUAAAAUUAGCUUGUUUGUUACUUGUCACAUGCUGUAGUAGAUUGUAUCAGAUCCAUUUAUGUUACACUAUACAAAGAUUAAUCAAAGCCAGUGAAAGGAAAAUAUUGCAAUUUUAAUACACUGUAAAGGAAAAAGAAAUAAACUAUG